rnacentral:rRNA from 1 species
UACGUAGGGGGGCUAGCGUUGUCCGGAAUCAUUGGGCGUAAAGCGCGCGUAGGCGGUCAGGUAAGUCCGGUGUGAAAAGUCAAAGGCUCAACCUUUGAAUGCCGCUGGAUACUGCUUGACUUGAGUCCGGAAGGGGCGAGUGGAAUUCCUGGGUGUAGCGGUGAAAUGCGCGAGAUAUCAGGAGGAACACCAAUGGCGAAGGCAGCUCGCUGGAACGGUACUGACGCUGAGCGCGAAAGCGUGGGGAGCGAACAGG